ACAAAUGUUUGUUAUUAUGGCCUAUAGAUGCAUUCGGCAACUUGAGUUCAGUGUCACAGUGCUGUUUUUUUUUUCAGUCCAAAGAGCCCGAAGCUGAUAAGACUGGCGAUUGAUCCUGAAGCUGAUUUGACAGACGAUUGCAUCAUCACAAUAUUGAAGGUUCAAUAUACAGUCAGCCUCUCAUAAGAUAAAGAACAAAUCCCAAGAUCCAAGGCUUGCUUCAAAGUUAAGAGAGCAUUCAGUGCCGCAAAGAAAUUGUUCAGGAAAAGGAGAAGUGGUGGAUAUUCAUUUUUGGUACGGUACAGUUCAAAGAGAUUUUCAAAAUGGUCAUGGAAGAUCAAAGGGAGGACAACUGAAAAAACUGAAAGAUUCAGAAGGAAAAAGA